rnacentral:rRNA from 1 species
CUAUCUACAGGCUUAACACAUGCAAGUCGAGGGGCAGCAUUUUAGUUUGCUUGCAAACUGAAGAUGGCGACCGGCGCACGGGUGAGUAACACGUAUCCAACCUGCCGAUAACUCCGGGAUAGCCUUUCGAAAGAAAGAUUAAUACCGGAUAGCAUACGAAUAUCGCAUGAUAUUUUUAUUAAAGAAUUUCGGUUAUCGAUGGGGAUGCGUUCCAUUAGUUUGUUGGCGGGGUAACGGCCCACCAAGACUACGAUGGAUAGGGGUUCUGAGAGGAAGGUCCCCCACAUUGGAACUGAGACACGGUCCAAACUCCUACGGGAGGCAGCAGUGAGGAAUAUUGGUCAAUGGGCGCGAGCCUGAACCAGCCAAGUAGCGUGAAGGAUGAAGGCUCUAUGGGUCGUAAACUUCUUUUAUAUGGGAAUAAAGUUUUCCACGUGUGGAAUUUUGUAUGUACCAUAUGAAUAAGGAUCGGCUAACUCCGUGCCAGCAGCCGCGGUAAUACGGAGGAUCCGAGCGUUAUCCGGAUUUAUUGGGUUUAAAGGGAGCGUAGGUGGAUUGUUAAGUCAGUUGUGAAAGUUUGCGGCUCAACCGUAAAAUUGCAGUUGAAACUGGCAGUCUUGAGUACAGUAGAGGUGGGCGGAAUUCGUGGUGUAGCGGUGAAAUGCUUAGAUAUCACGAAGAACUCCGAUUGCGAAGGCAGCUCACUAGACUGUCACUGACACUGAUGCUCGAAAGUGUGGGUAUCAAACAGGAUUAGAUACCCUGGUAGUCCACACAGUAAACGAUGAAUACUCGCUGUUUGCGAUAUACAGUAAGCGGCCAAGCGAAAGCAUUAAGUAUUCCACCUGGGGAGUACGCCGGCAACGGUGAAACUCAAAGGAAUUGACGGGGGCCCGCACAAGCGGAGGAACAUGUGGUUUAAUUCGAUGAUACGCGAGGAACCUUACCCGGGCUUAAAUUGCAACAGAAUAUAUUGGAAACAGUAUAGCCGUAAGGCUGUUGUGAAGGUGCUGCAUGGUUGUCGUCAGCUCGUGCCGUGAGGUGUCGGCUUAAGUGCCAUAACGAGCGCAACCCUUAUCUUUAGUUACUAACAGGUCAUGCUGAGGACUCUAGAGAGACUGCCGUCGUAAGAUGUGAGGAAGGUGGGGAUGACGUCAAAUCAGCACGGCCCUUACGUCCGGGGCUACACACGUGUUACAAUGGGGGGUACAGAAGGCGGCUACCUGGUGACAGGAUGCUAAUCCCAAAAACCUCUCUCAGUUCGGAUCGAAGUCUGCAACCCGACUUCGUGAAGCUGGAUUCGCUAGUAAUCGCGCAUCAGCCAUGGCGCGGUGAAUACGUUCCCGGGACUUGUACACACCGCCCGUCAAGCCAUGAAAGCCGGGGGUACCUGAAGUACGUAACCGCAAGGAGCGUCCUAGGGUAAAACUGGUAAUUG